GGUUCAAAAAGCCUCUAAGAAAUACCUCAGUUGUAGACAGUGAGCCAGUCAGAUUCACUGUUAAAGUAACAGGAGAACCCAAACCAGAAAUCACAUGGUGGUUUGAAGGAGAAAUGCUGCAGGACGGAGAAGACUACCAGUACAUUGAAAGAGGUGAAACUUACUGCCUCUAUUUACCAGAAACUUUCCCAGAAGAUGGAGGAGAAUAUAUGUGUAAAGCAGUCAACAAUAAAGGCUCUGCAGCAAGUACCUGCAUUCUUACCAUUGAAAUGGAUGACUACUAGGCUUCCUUCUCUUCUUGGAACUCACUCUCUCAACUCUCUUGCUACAUCUCUGUGGAGGGGCCAUGAGGAGACCAGAGGUGCCACUCUGUUGACUUAAUACCCUUCCCCAAAUCUUCAAAAUAGGAGCUCAUCCAAAGACUGCCUUUUCUAAUGCACACCAGGUUACCAUGUUGUGCCCAGUCAAAAUGUAGUUGACAGGAAGGGAAAUGUACUUAUUAUGUGAGAACCUAAAACAAAAGCUUUGUAUUUUCCAUAUUUAUAGCAAUUAUGCUUAAAGUAUACAUUGUAUGCAUGAAAGAAUUUAAGAGUUUUUACAUCUAAAAUUAGCCAGAGAGGACAAUGAAAUUGGAACUGAUCAGUCUUCCUCUGUAGCAUGUAAUUGCUGUGGAUUCCAAGUUUUUAUGAAGUAGAUAUACUUACAAAAGGAGUAGCAUUCUUUUCAUGAGAAAGGUGGAGCAUUGAAAAGAAAAAAACCAAGUAGAAUAUUUUUUAGAAACUAAACUAAAUUUGAUAGAAACCAAAGCUUACAGUGUUCCAAGAUGGCAGUUAUUUAACAUAUGCGUUUCAAAUGUGUAAUGACCACACUUAAGUUUAUGCUGUUACCUGCCUGAACAAAUUAUACUUUAAUGAGAAAAUAUUAGUAUUCCAUGCAAGAACAAAUGUUUUUAACAUCACUGAAGGUUUCAAGACCUAGGAGGAUUCGAUUCAGAAAAAAAAAAGAUUCAUUUUAAAAUUCUUGCUUUAAAAAUAAGUCUGUAAAUGUCUGGAGUGACAGUGCAUGCCAUUAAUCCCAAAACUUGGGAGACAAAGGCAGGUGGAUCUCUAUGAGUUCAAGGUCGGCCUGAUCUACAUAGUGAGUUCCAGGACAGUCAGGACUACAUAGUGAAACUGUCUCAAAACAACAAAGUCUGUAAAUAAUUAUAACUAGAAACGUUCUAUUAUUUGGUUGUUUUAUAUUUAUAUUCAAUUUCCUGGAAAACAAUUUUAUUUUACAUUGUGAAACCAUAAUAAAGUUACCUGUGCAUUAAAAAAAAA